GAUCAUGGCUCAGGAUGAACGCUAGCUACAGGCUUAACACAUGCAAGUCGAGGGGAAACGAUAGAGAAAGCUUGCUUUUUCUAGGCGUCGACCGGCGCACGGGUGAGUAACGCGUAUCCAACCUGCCCAUCACUUGGGGAUAACCUUGCGAAAGUAAGACUAAUACCCAAUGACGUCUCUAGAAGACAUCUGAAGGAGAUUAAAGAUUUAUCGGUGAUGGACGGGGAUGCGUCUGAUUAG
rnacentral:rRNA from 1 species